rnacentral:sRNA from 1 species
AGCAGCCGCGGUAAUUCCAGCUCCAAUAGCGUAUAUUAAAGUUGUUGCAGUUAAAAAGCUCGUAGUUGAAUUUCGGGAUCAGUUGAUCGGUCGUGCCUCGGUACGUACUGGUCAAAUUGAUUCCUACCUUCUGACGAACCACGAUGUCAUUAAUUUGAUGUCGCGGGAAAUCAGGACUGUUACUUUGAAAAAAUUAGAGUGUUUAAAGCAGGCUCGCGCUUGAAUACAUUAGCAUGGAAUAAUGAAAUAGGACGUUUGAUUCUAUUUUGUUGGUUUCUAGGAUCGACGUAAUGAUUAAUAGGGAUAGUUGGGGGCAUUAGUAUUCAAUUGUCAGAGGUGAAAUUCUUGGAUUUAUUGAAGACUAACUACUGCGAAAGCAUUUGCCAAGGAUGUUUUCAUUAAUCAAGAACGAAAGUUAGGGGAUCGAAGACGAUCAGAUACCGUCGUAGUCUUAACCAUAAACUAUGCCGACUAGGGAUCGGAUGAUGUUAAUUUUUUAAUGACUCAUUCGGCGCCUUAC